rnacentral:rRNA from 1 species
CCUACGGGAGGCAGCAGUGGGGAAUAUUGGACAAUGGGCGCAAGCCUGAUCCAGCAAUGCCGCGUGUGUGAAGAAGGCCUGAGGGUUGUAAAGCACUUUCAAUUGUGAAGAAGAGUAUAAGAUUAAUACUCUUGUACUUUGACGUUAACUUUAGAAGAAGCACCGGCUAACUCUGUGCCAGCAGCCGCGGUAAU